GAUGAACGCUGGCGGCGUGCUUAACACAUGCAAGUCGAACGGAAAGGCCCUAGCUUGCUGGGGUACUCGAGUGGCGAACGGGUGAGUAACACGUGGGUGAUCUGCCCUGCACUUUGGGAUAAGCUUGGGAAACUGGGUCUAAUACCGAAUAUGACCACUUCUUGGAUGUUGUGGUGGAAAGCUUUUGCGGUGUGGGAUGAGCCUGCGGCCUAUCAGCUUGUUGGUGGGGUAAUGGCCUACCAAGGCGGCGACGGGUAUCCGGCCUGAGAGGGUGUACGGACACAUUGGGACUGGGAUACGGCCCAGACUCCUACGGGAGGCAGCAGUGGGGAAUAUUGCACAACGGGCGCAAGCCUGAUGCAGCGACGCCGCGUGGGGGAUGAAGGCCUUCGGGUUGUAAACUCCUUUCGCUAUCGACGAAGCCACUUGUGGUGACGGUAGGUAGAUAAGAAGCACCGGCUAACUACGUGCCAGCCGCCGCAGUAA
rnacentral:rRNA from 1 species